rnacentral:rRNA from 1 species
AGGAUGUAUAGCAAUAGCUGAUUGCACCAACAAAUAGUUGAUGCAAUAUCGACUCUGUCGGAUAAAAUUCUAGGUAGAAUUAUGAUAAUGACAUUGUCUGCCUAUGUGUCUUGACCAAAUUACGUGCCAGCAGUCGCGGUAAUACGUAGAAGACUAGUGUUAUUCAUCUUUAAUAGGUUUAAAGGGUACCUAGACAGCAAAUCAAGCCAUAGUAGGGACUAAUUUGCUAGAGUUACUUGUGAGGGGGUAUUAAAGUACUGCUGGUGUAGAGAUGAAAUUCUGUCAUACCUUUAUCGAAAGAAAAACGACGGCACAGGUAUAGGCGAAAGCAUCCCCUUAUGUGAUAACUGACGUUGAAGGACGAAGGCUUUGUGUCGCGAACAGGAUUAGAUACCCCAGUAGUCAAAGCAGAAAAUGAUGAAUGUCAUAGGUUAGAUAAUAUUUAUCCUAUAAAUGAAAGUGUAAGCAUUCCACCUCAAGAGUAAUUUGGCAACAUUGGAACUGAAAUCAUUAGACCGUUUCUGAAACCAGUAGUGAAGUAUGUUGUUUAAUUAGAUGAUCCGCAAAAAACCUUACCACAAUUUGAAUAUUUAUACUUUUUUUGUUUCACUCUUACUUUUUUUUCCUAUCUUCUUAUUUUCAUCUUCCCUUUUUUCCUUUGUUUGUUUGUUUCUUUCUUUAUUUCCGUAGGAAAGAUGAAGAAAGAUGAGGAAAUAUGAGCAAACAUGAGGAAAUAUGAGCAAAGAUGAGAAAA